UCCGAUGUGGUGUAGUGGCUAACAUUGCUGUCUUUCAACUCGAGUGUGGGUGUCAGAGCACAGCAGCCCGGGGUUCGAUUCCCCGCAUCGGAA